GAUGAACGCUGGCGGCGUGCCUAAUACAUGCAAGUCGAGCGAACAGACGAGGAGCUUGCUCCUCUGACGUUAGCGGCGGACGGGUGAGUAACACGUGGAUAACCUACCUAUAAGACUGGGAUAACUUCGGGAAACCGGAGCUAAUACCGGAUAAUAUAUUGAACCGCAUGGUUCAAUAGUGAAAGACGGUUUUGCUGUCACUUAUAGAUGGAUCCGCGCCGCAUUAGCUAGUUGGUAAGGUAACGGCUUACCAAGGCGACGAUGCGUAGCCGACCUGAGAGGGUGAUCGGCCACACUGGAACUGAGACACGGUCCAGACUCCUACGGGAGGCAGCAGUAGGGAAUCUUCCGCAAUGGGCGAAAGCCUGACGGAGCAACGCCGCGUGAGUGAUGAAGGUCUUCGGAUCGUAAAACUCUGUUAUUAGGCAAGAACAAAUGUGUAAGUAACUAUGCACGUCUUGACGGUACCUAAUCAGAAAGCCACGGCUAACUACGUG
rnacentral:rRNA from 1 species